UGAAUAGCCAAGGGAAAAGGUUAUUUCCUUUGGCUCAGGCCUUGCUCUUGCUGGGCUGGGCAGAACUAUUCUUGACCCAGUUUUAUAGGUUUCACAGUUGGCUGACCCAUUCAUUGUCAACUGAUACGGAUGUUAGCUCAAAAUUGUCCUAGCAACCAAGAAAGCACACAAAGAUCUGAAGGAACUCCAGCAUUUAAACACUUACUUUGAGAUCUCUCAUUCAAUGCAAGUUAGGCAAGCGCAGAGGAGAACAUUCGCCAGCACAGAGUCGGUAACAAGCUGCUUUGUGAAAAGGCCGCUAGCUCAGCUGGCUAAAGCAGGGUUCAGUGCAUGCCAAAUUACUGCCUAAUUAAUAAAUAGUCUAAAGAGCAUGUGUCCCAUUCCGAGAUUGUGAACUGUGUCUUCAAAAAGGAAGGAAACAGAACAGAUGGGACUAUCUUGAAGCGCGUCCAUAUGGAGACAAGGCUCCUCUCCUAGCAGCAACACAUGACAGGUUGUGCAGAUGCAGAAUGGUUGACAGUGCCCAAGAACAGCCACGAUAAUGCUGACACCUCCUGAGAAUCCACAGUUUCAAUGUGCUGGUAAUUACUUGUCCUUCGGUUCCUUGUGUUUUAGCUCUAAGUAACAAGAGGAGCCAACGAUGUCACACUUUGUGAAGUGCAUCAAGUCUGGGUUCAAGGGGAAGCACUGCCAUAAAUCAUUUUGGGUUUAAAAGGAGACAUGUAGUAAUGUGUUCUGCAACACCAUCUUGUCCUUUCAUCAAAGCUGUUUAGAAAGGAGCAAAAAGCAUGGACUUUCCUAUCACUGCACCAUUUCCAAGCUGAGACCCUUGCUUAUUGUGUGCACUCCACAUGAAAUUCAACUUGAAAAAGGGUUGUAGCAGAAGAACAAGAAAUGGUGAAAAUACCACAGAGAUUUUGUGUGAUGUUGCAUAGCAAAUGCACAUUUUUUUAAAUAGCUAAGUAAAUAAAUGAAUAAAUAACAAAACAAAAAAAAACAGUUCAGAAGUAUGUAACAAUGGAAUUUCAGUUGGAAUGGGCAUAGGAAAGUGAACUGACAUGAUAAAAUAAGGGGUUUACUACAAAUACUCAUAUUUUAGGUUGUUAUGUUCCAAUUUCUUCCAUCUGUGACAGCAUUCAAAUCAUAGUACACAAAAUAAAGGGUCAGUGAGAAACAAAACCUCCUUUUCCAUCAUUUGUAGAAUACGUUUUCAAGUAACAGUUUUUAAGAAAAAAAUGAAAGCAAUCAAAACCAGUUAAAGAAUAAGGUUUUGAUUAGGCAAAAAGCAUUACUUAAUUCAUUGUUUUUAAAUUAUAGCUCUCUGUUCCAUAAUAAGAGUUCAGAGGAGGUUAUACUUUUCCGUUACUAAAUGAAAUCCAUCAUAGACUCAUGCAAAGGAAUAUUUUUCCCCAGUGAGUGACAACUGUUUUCAGUCUCCAAAGAUGCUACAAGGAUUCUACGAAGUCCUGAGACUUUCACUAAUAACUUAGGUCCUUGUUGAUCAGAAUACCAAUAAAUCAUAUUACUACAGAAAUCCAGAAUCCCAUAAUUAAAAUGUUUGCCCUUUCAUGCCUACAGGAAGACACUUUAUGUAACGUUUUAGACUGAAAUAUAGGAAUUUUUGUUAGUUUUAGCUAACCAGGGCUACAGGAACCACAAGAACUGCUGCUAGCAUUUGCAUGUUGAAUAAUACAUUAAUUUUUUUUAUUUAAAGUUUAAGUUCCACAGGUUGAAGAUUAAAUUGCGACCUCUCUAAAUUCCCAUACCUAUCAGUAAAACACAGAUAUAAUAAUAUCUGCACAGACACAUCUGUUGGGAUCUGGAGUCAAUAUUACAAGCAACUUUUCCUCAGAACUGUUUCUGCUUGCUUUGGAGUUCUUUUUCUGCUCCUAUCUGUUUUAGAUCUUCUUUUAAUGUCUCUUGUUCAGGAUUUCCAUCUCUUCAGGGACCAGGUUAGCCACCUAACUGCAUCCAG